GAAUGGGAAGGAGCAGAAAGGACAACAGGAGGGACAGGAAAGUGUGAGGAGUGGGAGGGGAGUUCAGAAUUCUACCCUCUGUGGGGCCUGGUGCUUAAUGGGUUAAAUGAAAUACCUCUUCCUCUGGGGUUGGGAGGUGGGCAGCACCACAAGCUGGGAAGAAACUAUUGGCAGGAGGGAAGAUGACAGAAGGAGUGCUGCUGGAAAAGCUGAUUCAUUUCACCCAAAACAGCUAGGUCAUCCCAGCAAAAUUCUUUGAAU
rnacentral:lncRNA from 1 species